UCUAUAGCCUCCUUGAAUGUACAGAAUUCCAGCAUCUGAGUUACUGAUGUGAUGGCUUACACAUCUGUCCUAAGGAGUUUUUUCUUAAUAUGUAGAAACUCUGCGGGACAUUAGUCUUUCUCUAGUCAGCACUUUUUUUAUUAUAAAUUUGUCAACCUAUAGGGGCUUUGAAAAUGAAGUUUCCAUGGUGAAAAUGGUGAGGCUCACAGACAUUAAUUCAUUUGCUCCAAGUCAUCUCGCUGAUAAGCAGCAGAACAGAUUUGAACCCAGACCUUUCUGAUUUCAGAUGCCCUGGUCUUUCCACCAUAUCACACUGCCUCUCUAAAAACAAAUGACAAUGACAACAGUAAAGUCCAUUAAAAGGAGUGACAAAGAAAGAAAACGUUAUCCAAGAAGAAAGAGAAAGAGGAGGAUUUUGUCUCUGCAUGGAUAUCUCAGCUAGUUAGUUGUCCUGGCUGAGCCCUCUGGUCCUUGUCAGUAGAACUGUGCAAUAUGUGUGAAAAACACAUCAUAACGUCUGCAUAGUAUCUAUCUUUGGAGCAUUGCGAAAUUCACACAGUAACUGUUUUCUGGUACCUUAUUUGGUUCAUAUUUUUUGUUGUUCUACCUGGUUAUAAUUCUUGUUUGACACAAGUUACACUUCCAGCAGAGAGUCGAAAAGUUUGUAUCCAUUCUCAAUCUGCAGAUAAUGCAGGCUCUGGGAUGAUAUUCAUAUAUAAUGUUUUUUCUUGACUAAUGUUUUCCUGUCUGAAUUUGGGCUCAGAUAAAAAAGUGCAAACAUUAUUGGCAUAAAUAUGGUAUGUCACUAAAAACUGCUGUGGAAACUCAAAGAUAGAAGCCGUCAGAUGUCUCCUGGGCCCACAUAACAGACCUGCCUUCUCUUCAUGAGCAGAAUUCAGGAUUCACUAAUCUCACAGGCUAUAGCCUAUAACCUGAUGGUGGGGAAAUCGAGCCAUUUCUUACUCCUCAGAUUAGUGAUGUAAGAGAAGGAAAUGUCUUCCCUUCCCUUCCCUAUACCAAGAGAAGUUUGCAUGCCCAGCUUUCUAGACUUAUCUGUGGAAUUGAGCUUAUGCCAUAAAUUACCAGAAACCUAAUGAUGACCUAGAACUGGACGUCACUGGGUUUAGACAUGAGACACCAUGAAUCUCCAGUUCUGACGAGCAUCCCCAUUUGGAAUUACACAAGAACGCCUGGCUGCUGUAUAUGAUUGGCAGCGACAUCCGUACAGACAGAGAAACCAAAAGGAAUCUUCGAAGAGACAGCAUGUUGGCACUGCCCUCUUAAACUGAGCUUCUGGUUAACAAAUUGAUCAGUUGGGCAAUGUCAAUCCAACUGAAUGUUCAUACUAAACAAACCUAAAAAUGCUACCUUUGUACAUUUUUACAGGAUAAAUGUAUCUUGGAAGUUCAUCUUUGUGGCAACUUCUGUGUUCCUAUUUGAAAGAACAUCAUUAAUCAUUUCAUUCAAUGUGGGCUAUGUUUAUCAUUUUUUCACCCCAGAAGCAUUUUUCAUUAUUUUUAAGUGAAUAAUUCUAACUAUAAGCAUUAAAAUAAAAUCAUUCUGCCUC
ensembl:lncRNA